UACGGGGGGAGCAAGCGUUGUUCGGAUUUACUGGGCGUAAAGGGCGCGUAGGCGGUCAGCACAAGUCAGUUGUGAAAUCUCCGGGCUUAACCCGGAAAGGUCAACUGAUACUGUGCGACUAGAGUGCGGAAGGGGCAACUGGAAUUCUCGGUGUAGCGGUGAAAUGCGUAGAUAUCGAGAGGAACACCUGCGGCGAAGGCGGGUUGCUGGGCCGACACUGACGCUGAUGCGCGAAAGCCAGGGGAGCGAAACGGG
rnacentral:rRNA from 1 species